GAUGAAGAACGUAGCGAAAUGCGAUAAGUAAUGCGAAUUGCAGAAUUCAGCGAGUCAUCGAAUCUUUGAACGCACAUUGCGCCCCUUGGUAUCCCGAGGGGCAUGCCUGUUCGAGCGUCAUUUCACCACUCAAGCCUGGCUUGGUGUUGGGCGACGUCCCCUUUGGGGACGCGCCUCGAAACGCUCGGCGGCGUGGCACCGGCUUUAAGCGUAGCAGAAUCUUUCGCUUUGGAAGUCGGGGCCCCGUCUGCCGGAAGACCUACUCGCAAGGUUGACCUCGGAUCAGGCAGGGAUACCCGCUGAACUUAAGCAUAUCAAUAAGCGGAGGA
rnacentral:misc_RNA from 1 species